rnacentral:rRNA from 1 species
GACGAACGCUAGCGGCGUGCUUAACACAUGCCAGUCGAACGGAAAGGCCCUGCUUUUGUGGGGUGCUCGAGUGGCGAACGGGUGAGUAACACGUGAGUAACCUGCCCUGACUUUGGGAUAACUUCAGGAAACUGGGGCUAAUACCGGAUAGGAGCUCCUGCUGCAUGGUGGGGGUUGGAAAGUUUCGGCGGUUGGGGAUGGACUCGCGGCUUAUCAGCUUGUUGGUGGGGUAGUGGCUUACCAAGGCUUUGACGGGUAGCCGGCCUGAGAGGGUGACCGGCCACAUUGGGACUGAGAUACGGCCCAGACUCCUACGGGAGGCAGCAGUGGGGAAUAUUGCACAAUGGGCGGAAGCCUGAUGCAGCAACGCCGCGUGCGGGAUGACGGCCUUCGGGUUGUAAACCGCUUUCGCCUGUGACGAAGCGUGAGUGACGGUAAUGGGUAAAGAAGCACCGGCUAACUACGUG